rnacentral:tmRNA from 1 species
GGGGGCGAACCGGGUUCGACGGAGACACGAAGGCUGUGGUCGCACGCCGGGUGGCGCUGACCCGUAAAACAGGCGCACUGCGAAAUUUACCCGCAGACAAUAACGGUUACGCUCUGGCGGCCUAAGGGCCGCUAGCGUUCCGCCGCCGUUCGCCCAUGACGGCGGGCCGGAACGUCAUUUAGUGGGCUAGGGUGCGAUGGUUCACCGGUUGCAUCGAGGCCCGAAACUUAAAUCGGUUGGCUUCGGCACAGCCCGUCCGUGGGCGAUGCCGCGGCGAGCUACAAAUCGCGGACUAAGCGUGUAGUGGCCAUCGCCGGACUAUCUUCGGACGGGGGUUCAAUUCCCCCCGCCUCCACCA